UAAUACGGAGGGGGCAAGCGUUGUUCGGAAUUAUUGGGCGUAAAGCGUGUGUAGGCGGUUAAGUAAGUCAGGCGUGCAAGCCCGUGGCUCAACCACGGAAUUGCGUUUGAAACUAUUUAGCUUGAGUACAGGAGAGGAAAGUGGAAUUCCCAGUGUAGCGGUGAAAUGCAUUGAUAUUGGGAAGAACAUCUGUGGCGAAGGCGGCUUUCUGGUCUGUUACUGACGCUGAGAUACGAAAGCCAGGGUAGCGAACGGGAUUAGAUACCCCGGUAGUCCUGGCUGUAAACGAUGGGCACUAGGUGCAGGAGGUAUCGAUCCCCUCUGUGCCGUAGCUAACGCGUUAAGUGCCCCGCCUGGGGAGUACGGUCGCAAGGCUG
rnacentral:rRNA from 1 species